rnacentral:rRNA from 1 species
CACGCCGUAAACGAUGAGCGCUAGGUGUUGGGGGUAUUGACCCCCCCAGUACCGCAGCUAACGCGUUAAGCGCUCCGCCUGGGGAGUACGGCCGCAAGGCUAAAACUCAAAGGAAUUGACGGGGGCCCGCACAAGCGGUGGAGUAUGUGGUUUAAUUCGACGCAACGCGCAAAACCUUACCUGGGUUAAAUCCACUAGAACCCACCAGAGAUGGUGGAGUGCCUUCGGGAGCUAGUGAGAAGGUGC